AUGCUCGGGGAAAGCGACCGGUUCCCGACGUCCUUCGGCUCGUCCCUCCCCGGCGGCGCUUUGCGGACCGGAGGCUCCUUGCGGUUCCCACCACUCCCCGCCGCCUGCGGGCUCCUCGCGACCCUCCGAGGCCCGGGAAGGAAAAAAAAAAAAUCCUCCCCACGCCGGCAGUCCUCCACGCCAGCACGGGUCCCACGCAGACAGCUGGCGCCUGCCCUUGGGGACAGACGCCGAGACAGACACGCGGGCCUCGCGACAGUGGCUCCGCUGCAGCCCGCGCCCGGGGCUGGGGGAGGCCCCGGGCGGGUCGGGCGCGUAGGGCGCGCGGGUCCCCUCUUGCGACCCCCGAAUCUAGCGAGUUCGAGGGAGACUGUGCUGGUUGGACGGGCCGCCGCCGCCAACCUUCCUAGAGGCCGAUUGGGGAAGGCGCCCGGCGGCUUCCGGGGAUCCUCCCCGCACCGGCUCUCCCCGACAGCCUCCUGCGUCCUUACUUUCUUUGCCCUGUUCCUUUCCUCACCCCUUCCCGCGGAAAUUAUCAUCUCAGAAAACUUUAUUUCUCCGUUUCCCCUCCCCCUCCUUUUCUUUCUUCCCCCCUCUGCCCUUUAUCCCGGCGCAGCCUGGCAGAGAAGAGCGAUAGCAGCGGGCUCCGAGGUGCCCGAGAGGCGCCUUCUGCCACACCAUGCAAAAUCCUCAGCCACUCAAGCCCAUUCCUCCAAUUCUUUCUCUCUGGGCUCCGGAGAAAACAGCUGGAUUGAGAGAUUUGACUAGUUCCCUUGCAGGCUUUCAGAUGCAAAACCCGCUUCUGAGCCCUUCUGUUUUCAGAAAGGAAAACCCAGAACUGGCAUCUUGCGUAACCCUUCCCUCUACAGCCGGCUGUCCGCUGGCCUGGCCUCUCAGCCCUGAGAUAGCAGUGUUUGGAUUUGUUAUGUAAGGAAGGGAGGAUUAGAGGUUUGUGCUGCUCCUCCUCCCCCCACCAAAAUAAAAGUCCUCACAUGGCGCA
rnacentral:lncRNA from 1 species